rnacentral:RNase_P_RNA from 1 species
UGAGCGAAACGGACGAUCGCGGGAAUAAUAUUCGUGAGGAAAGUCCGGGCUCCACAGGGCAGGAUGCCGGAUAACGUCCGGCGGAGGUGACUCCCGGGACAGUGCAACAGAAAAUAACCGCCUGCUUAUGCAGGUAAGGGUGAAAAGGCGGUGUAAGAGACCACCGUUCGCAUGGUAACAUGCGAAGCCGUGUAAACCCCAUCCGGAGCAAGACCAAACAGAAAGGUUAAGGGCGGCCCGCCCGUCUUUCAGGUAGGUCGCUUGAUGCGUGCGGCAACGUACGUACUAGAUAGAUGAUCGUCAGCGAUUUAUCCGCAAGGAUGAAUUCGUAUACAGAACCCGGCUUAUAGUUUCGCUUAUUUU